GACGAACGCUGGCGGCGUGCUUAACACAUGCAGGUCGAGCGGUAAGGCCCUUUCGGGGGUACACGAGCGGCGAACGGGUGAGUAACACGUGGGUGACCUGCCUUUAGCUCUGGGAUAAGCCUGGGAAACCGGGUCUAAUACCGGAUAUGACUCCGCGGCGCAUGUUGUGGGGUGGAAAGCCUUGUGCGGCUGGAGAUGGGGCCCGCGGCCUAUCAGCUUGUUGGUGGGGUGAUGGCCUACCAAGGCGACGACGGGUAGCCGGCCUGAGAGGGCGACCGGCCACACUGGGACUGAGACACGGCCCAGACUCCUACGGGAGGCAGCAGUGGGGAAUCUUGCGCAAUGGGGCGAAAGCCUGACGCAGCGACGCCGCGUGAGGGAUGACGGCCU
rnacentral:rRNA from 1 species